rnacentral:pre_miRNA from 1 species
UUGUGACAUACUCCCUUCGGUCCUAUUUACAAGAGAAAUUUGACUUUUUAGAUACAUUAAAUAAUGUAUGUAUCUAAUCAAGAAUCUAAACCAAAUACAUAAAUUAUUUAAUGUAUCUAAAAAGUAAAUUGUCUCUUGUAAAUAGGAUCGGAGGGAGUGUAUAUACUC